rnacentral:rRNA from 1 species
GUGGGGAAUAUUGGACAAUGGGCGAAAGCCUGAUCCAGCCAUGCCGCGUGUGUGAAGAAGGUCUUCGGAUUGUAAAGCACUUUAAGUUGGGAGGAAGGGCAGUAAGUUAAUACCUUGCUGUUUUGACGUUACCGACAGAAUAAGCACCGGCUAACUUCGUGCCAGCAGCCGCGGUAAUACGAAGGGUGCAAGCGUUAAUCGGAAUUACUGGGCGUAAAGCGCGCGUAGGUGGUUUGUAAGUUGGAGGUGAAAUCCCCGGGCUCAACCUGGGAACUGCCUCCAAAACUGCAUGACUAGAGUACGGUAGAGGGUAGUGGAAUUUCCUGUGUAGCGGUGAAAUGCGUAGAUAUAGGAAGGAACACCAGUGGCGAAGGCGACCACCUGGACUGAUACUGACACUGAGGUGCGAAAGCGUGGGGAGCAAACAGGAUUAGAACCCCCGGUAGUCC